rnacentral:rRNA from 1 species
AUUGAACGCUGGCGGCAUGCCUUACACAUGCAAGUCGAACGGUAACGGGUCCUUCGGGAUGCCGACGAGUGGCGAACGGGUGAGUAAUAUAUCGGAACGUGCCCAGUAGUGGGGGAUAACUGCUCGAAAGAGCUGCUAAUACCGCAUACGACCUGAGGGUGAAAGGGGGGGAUCGCAAGACCUCUCGCUAUUGGAGCGGCCGAUAUCAGAUUAGCUAGUUGGUGGGGUAAAGGCCUACCAAGGCAACGAUCUGUAGUUGGUCUGAGAGGACGACCAGCCACACUGGGACUGAGACACGGCCCAGACUCCUACGGGAGGCAGCAGUGGGGAAUUUUGGACAAUGGGCGCAAGCCUGAUCCAGCAAUGCCGCGUGCAGGAAGAAGGCCUUCGGGUUGUAAACUGCUUUUGUCAGGGAAGAAAUCUUCUGGGCUAAUACCCCGGGAGGAUGACGGUACCUGAAGAAUAAGCACCGGCUAACUACGUGCCAGCAGCCGCGGUAAUACGUAGGGUGCGAGCGUUAAUCGGAAUUACUGGGCGUAAAGCGUGCGCAGGCGGCUUUGCAAGACAGAUGUGAAAUCCCCGGGCUCAACCUGGGAACUGCAUUUGUGACUGCAAGGCUAGAGUACGGCAGAGGGGGAUGGAAUUCCGCGUGUAGCAGUGAAAUGCGUAGAUAUGCGGAGGAACACCAAUGGCGAAGGCAAUCCCCUGGGCCUGUACUGACGCUCAUGCACGAAAGCGUGGGGAGCAAACAGGAUUAGAUACCCUGGUAGUCCACGCCCUAAACGAUGUCAACUGGUUGUUGGACGGCUUGCUGUUCAGUAACGAAGCUAACGCGUGAAGUUGACCGCCUGGGGAGUACGGCCGCAAGGUUGAGACUCAAAGGAAUUGACGGGGACCCGCACAAGCGGUGGAUGAUGUGGUUUAAUUCGAUGCAACGCGAAAAACCUUACCUACCCUUGACAUGUCAAGAAUUCUGCAGAGAUGUGGAAGUGCUCGAAAGAGAACUUGAACACAGGUGCUGCAUGGCCGUCGUCAGCUCGUGUCGUGAGAUGUUGGGUUAAGUCCCGCAACGAGCGCAACCCUUGUCAUUAGUUGCUACGCAAGAGCACUCUAAUGAGACUGCCGGUGACAAACCGGAGGAAGGUGGGGAUGACGUCAGGUCCUCAUGGCCCUUAUGGGUAGGGCUACACACGUCAUACAAUGGCCGGUACAGAGGGCUGCCAACCCGCGAGGGGGAGCCAAUCCCAGAAAACCGGUCGUAGUCCGGAUCGUAGUCUGCAACUCGACUGCGUGAAGUCGGAAUCGCUAGUAAUCGCGGAUCAGCUUGCCGCGGUGAAUACGUUCCCGGGUCU